UAAUUUUAUAAAUUACCCAUUUUUCCCCUACUUAUUUGGGUUAUUCUUCAACUUGUAUGUUUCUCACUGGACCAAUAGUUUUGUGAAUUGCUACAGCAAUUGGUUCAAUCGCUUGUAUUGGACUGCCUGUGGCUUUCAAAUCAUUUUCCCCAGUUAAUUGCUCUCUUUAAUUUCUGGUUCAGAUGCUUAGUUUGUUGUGGCCUUUAAUUGGUUUUGGGGUGAUUUAAAGGGUUUCUGUUAAUUCCGUUUUUAUCAGAGAUUGUUGGGUAGAUUUUUUUUGUUUAUGUAAUUAACUGCUAUUUCCUCUCUGAAAUAUUUCUAAUGCUGGCUUGUCAUGGUAUUGGUCAUGCUUUAAUUUGGUUUGCUCUUGCUUAGUUCCUCUGUACAGCAGGUGGCAUAUCAGUUUUAUUAUUGCUUUUAAUUAUUUAUUAAUCAAUGUGAUUUUGGAGCUUAAUUUCUUUAUUCAAUUUUGCAAUGAAAGUACUUUAGCACAUUGAAAUCAUUUUCAUUUCUCUAAUGUUACUUGAUAGAGUUUCUUACCACUAGCUGAGCUUGUAAUGUUCAUAUCCUUUCUAAUGUUCUUGCCAAUAAUGCUUCAUUGCAAACUGGAAGAUUAUAUCAAAUAUGUCUUGAAUGAUGAUGGUGCUAUCUGACUAUAGAUUCGACACAAGCAAAUCAAGGCUGCUAGGUGCUAGCAUUAAGUGAGGAGACUUCAAUUUAAAGCCUACUCAUUCUUGGGGAAUGCCCAAACCUUUCUAAAUUAUUUCCCCGUGUGUCAAUAGACACUAAAUAUAAAUCUUAAUGAAUUAAGAAGAUAUUUUUAAUGCCUUCUUAUUAUAUAUAACGCACAGAUAAGUGAAAACGAUUGAUUCAUAUUGAUUUUGGAAUUGUUGAUCUGGCUUCUCAGAACCCUUUAAUGCAAAUGCUUUUAUUUGUUUAUUUAUUUAUUUAUGAGUUUCAUCUAAUUUUUUAUGCUCUUGACUGAGAAAUCUUUUAAUUAAAAAAAUAUGGAUGGUUUCAAAGCUAAUCCAUGACAAACACUAGAAUGCAUAAUGGACAUAUAAACCUUCCCUCCUGUUUAGUUUGAAUGGUUCUUAUUCUAUCAUUUGGGAACCUAUCUUUAUAUAGUCAAUUGCAGAGUAUUGUUUCUGGUCUGAACAGAGGCCUUGUUGCUAGUGAAGAUGAUCUACAAAGGGAAGAUGCUGCUGUGAAGGAGCUUGAAGCUGUUGGACAACUAGUAGAUCUCUCAAAUGAUAUUGAUCGGAUGCAAGGAAGAUGGAAGUUGAUAUACAGCAGCGCAUUCUCAACUCAUGCUCUAGGUGGAAUUCGUCCUGGACUUCCCACUGGAAGGCUUCUUCCUAUAACUCUAGGCCAGGUACUCCAUGGCCUUCACCACCAUUGAAGUGACUGCAAUAUUAGCCCACAAAUUUGAAUUCAUAGGAACCGAACAGCAAAGGUUAAAAUAACAUAUGAGAAAACAACCGUAAAGACAAGUGGGAAUUUGUCACAACUUCCAUCGAUAGAAAUACCUCCAAGUCCUGGUGCAUUAAGGCCUCCAUCCAAUCCCAGAGGUGGUGAAUUUGAAGUUGCCUAGGUUGAUGCUGAUAUGUGUAUCACCAGAGGAAAUAGAGGAGAGCUUAGGGUUUAUGUGAUCUCGUAAUUUAUUUUCCUGUGCAGUUUCUCUACCAUCUCUUCACAUUCAAGGUUCUCUAUUCAUCUUUCUAUAUCAAAAAGCAUCUUGUCUAUC